GGGGCCGGGGCCACCUCUGUGGACAGCAAAGGCAGGCUGGGCUGGGCUGGGCUGGGGCAGACCACCCCUGCCGGAGCACCGGUUCCCUGCAGAAGUAGCCCUGCCCCAGGACAGGCCCGCCCCCUACCUGAGAGGAUGCUGGCGAUAAGAUCAUCGCGCUGACCUGGAAAGCACAGGCAGGGCUGGCUGUGAGAAGCUGGAGAAGGGCAGAGCUAUCCCCAUCUCUCCACCUACCCCCAGGCCGCCCCUUACCUGGGCUGCUGAUGGAGGAGCUGAUGGAGGAGCUGGUCGGGGAGGUGGCGGGGCCUGGGGGCCGGCGCGGGGAGGCGUCCAGCGGGCUGGGCGUCGGGUGUGGGUUCAGCUGGCACCCCAGCUGCUGAGUCUGGGUCUCCUGGCUCGUCUCCGGGCCAGACUGAGCCUGCAAGGGUGAGGUGGAGGAAGUAGAAUGCUCUAUGCUCCUUCCAGAAAUGCUACUCUCUCCAGACCCUUCUUUUAUUUUUUUUAAAUAUUUUGGGGGGAGGGAGCCACACCGUGAGGCUUGUGGAGGACCUUAGUUCUCCAACCAGGGAUCGAACCCAGGCCCUUGGCAGUGCAAGUGCAGAGUCCUAACCACUGGACCACCAGGGAACUCCCCCUCUCUAGACCCUUCCAUCCUUCACAACCUCCUUCAGCCUGUGGCCCUGGACUCCUCUCGUCUGUCACGUGGGGGCUGUGAGAAUAACUCUAUGAGAACAAGACAUGCAUUUCUAACCCCCUUUGGCACAUGGGGUCUGGGGAAGAGAACGUGAGGUCAUGUCUCUAGGAUGUGAGGCCUCACUGCAUAUGGUUAGGAACUUCUAGAUUGUUCUGGAAAGCCCUGGCCCAGCCCCAAGUUCCGUCCUGUCUCUGAGUCCCCCCUCCACCCUUGCCCACAGCUGCUCAUCUUCCUCGAUGCUUAGCUCCUGAUUAAAUCAACGAAGGAAGUGACCGCAGAGGGGGCACUAGUCUCUCCCGCUAAUAACUCCAGACAGCCAGCUUUCUUCCCUGCUGCCGCAGGCCCCCAGGGGACCGGGCCUAGAUGUGUGGCCAGCCUCUGCUCCUGACCCCUCCCCGCAGAAGCCACGGCCCGUCUCAUGGCUCCCAGGACCAUGCUUGAAAAGCUUUUAGGGCUUCCAACUGCCCUGGUGAAGCGGCUGAACUCCUCACCCUGGCUUUGAGCCUGCCGGCAGCCAGAAUUCUAGCCCUGGACAGUCCUGAAGGCCUUUCUUAAGCAGAAGGGAUUUCCACCUCCUUAAAAUGUGGCGAGUAACCCCAGGCAGCUGAGCCUCCUGAACGAGAGAGCCCAGAAGCCCUAGCCGUGCAGCGUGGUGGAAGGGCGCUGGAGGCAGAGCCCAGGGCUGGAGGGACAGUGUGGGUGAACCCAUGAAGCUGACAGCAGCAGCAAGCAGGGAACAGGCUCCUCAGGGAAAAGAGUCCUACCACCAGCUGGGACUAGCAUGGGCAGUAUAGACAGA
ensembl:lncRNA